rnacentral:rRNA from 1 species
UGGGGAAUAUUGCACAAUGGGCGCAAGCCUGAUGCAGCCAUGCCGCGUGUAUGAAGAAGGCCUUCGGGUUGUAAAGUACUUUCAGUCGGGAGGAAGGUGGUAAGGUUAAUAACCUUAUCAAUUGACGUUACCGACAGAAGAAGCACCGGCUAACUCCGUGCCAGCAGCCGCGGUAAUACGGAGGGUGCAAGCGUUAAUCGGAAUUACUGGGCGUAAAGCGCACGCAGGCGGUUGAUUGAGUCAGAUGUGAAAUCCCCGGGCUUAACCCGGGAAUUGCAUCUGAUACUGGUCAGCUAGAGUCUUGUAGAGGGGGGUAGAAUUCCAUGUGUAGCGGUGAAAUGCGUAGAGAUGUGGAGGAAUACCGGUGGCGAAGGCGGACCCCUGGACAAAGACUGACGCUCAGGUGCGAAAGCGUGGGGAGCAAACAGG